AAAUUGAAGAGUUUGAUCAUGGCUCAGAUUGAACGCUGGCGGCAGGCCUAACACAUGCAAGUCGAGCGGUAGCACAGAGAGCUUGCUCUCGGGUGACGAGCGGCGGACGGGUGAGUAAUGUCUGGGAAACUGCCUGAUGGAGGGGGAUAACUACUGGAAACGGUAGCUAAUACCGCAUAAUGUCGCAAGACCAAAGUGGGGGACCUUCGGGCCUCAUGCCAUCAGAUGUGCCCAGAUGGGAUUAGCUAGUAGGUGGGGUAACGGCUCACCUAGGCGACGAUCCCUAGCUGGUCUGAGAGGAUGACCAGCCACACUGGAACUGAGACACGGUCCAGACUCCUACGGGAGGCAGCAGUGGGGAAUAUUGCACAAUGGGCGCAAGCCUGAUGCAGCCAUGCCGCGUGUGUGAAGAAGGCCUUCGGGUUGUAAAGCACUUUCAGCGGGGAGGAAGGCGAUAAGGUUAAUAACCUUGUCGAUUGACGUUACCCGCAGAAGAAGCACCGGCUAACUCCGUGCCAGCAGCCGCGGUAAUACGGAGGGUGCAAGCGUUAAUCGGAAUUACUGGGCGUAAAGCGCACGCAGGCGGUCUGUCAAGUCGGAUGUGAAAUCCCCGGGCUCAACCUGGGAACUGCAUUCGAAACUGGCAGGCUAGAGUCUUGUAGAGGGGGUAGAAUUCCAGGUGUAGCGGUGAAAUGCGUAGAGAUCUGGAGGAAUACCGGUGGCGAAGGCGGCCCCCUGGACAAAGACUGACGCUCAGGUGCGAAAGCGUGGGGAGCAAACAGGAUUAGAUACCCUGGUAGUCCACGCCGUAAACGAUGUCGAUUUGGAGGUUGUGCCCUUGAGGCGUGGCUUCCGGAGCUAACGCGUUAAAUCGACCGCCUGGGGAGUACGGCCGCAAGGUUAAAACUCAAAUGAAUUGACGGGGGCCCGCACAAGCGGUGGAGCAUGUGGUUUAAUUCGAUGCAACGCGAAGAACCUUACCUGGUCUUGACAUCCACAGAACUUUCCAGAGAUGGAUUGGUGCCUUCGGGAACUGUGAGACAGGUGCUGCAUGGCUGUCGUCAGCUCGUGUUGUGAAAUGUUGGGUUAAGUCCCGCAACGAGCGCAACCCUUAUCCUUUGUUGCCAGCGGUCCGGCCGGGAACUCAAAGGAGACUGCCAGUGAUAAACUGGAGGAAGGUGGGGAUGACGUCAAGUCAUCAUGGCCCUUACGACCAGGGCUACACACGUGCUACAAUGGCAUAUACAAAGAGAAGCGACCUCGCGAGAGCAAGCGGACCUCAUAAAGUAUGUCGUAGUCCGGAUUGGAGUCUGCAACUCGACUCCAUGAAGUCGGAAUCGCUAGUAAUCGUAGAUCAGAAUGCUACGGUGAAUACGUUCCCGGGCCUUGUACACACCGCCCGUCACACCAUGGGAGUGGGUUGCAAAAGAAGUAGGUAGCUUAACCUUCGGGAGGGCGCUUACCACUUUGUGAUUCAUGACUGGGGUGAAGUCGUAACAAGGUAACCGUAGGGGAACCUGCGGUUGGAUCACCUCCUUA
rnacentral:rRNA from 1 species